rnacentral:tRNA from 1 species
GUUCUUGUAGUUGAACUACAAC